CUUAUUUGCAUCCCAAGGUGUGCACUGAUUCUUUUUAAGGACCUGGAAGGCGUCCACAGCAGAAGAAUCACGGGCUGGAAAACGGCUUGCAAAGCGGCCCGUUGCGGAAGGUUCAACCCGACCCGUCCUCGCUGGCCUUGCAGUUUGGAGCUCUCUUUGGGGCAUUAUCCCAGCCUGCAAGAUCAGCGAUGGCCUGCGAACCCCCGGAAAGCUGUGUUGGUGGCCGUCAGCAAAGCUUCUCUUCCUGGUAUUUCUGGU